CUAUGCGCCUUGCCAGCCCGCUCAGUCAGAGUUUGAUCCUGGCUCAGGAUGAACGCUGGCGGCGUGCUUAACACAUGCAAGUCGAACGAAGCACUCCGGACCUAAUCUUCGGAAGCGGACUGGAGUGACUGAGUGGCGGACGGGUGAGUAACGCGUGGGUAACCUGCCCUAUGCAGGGGGAUAACAGUUAGAAAUGACUGCUAACACCGCAUAAGCGCACAGUGCCGCAUGGCACAGUGUGAAAAUAUUGAUAGGCAUAGGAUGGACCCGCGUCUGAUUAGCUUGUUGGCGGGGUAACGGCCCACCAAGGCAACGAUCAGUAGCCGGCUUGAGAGAGUGAACGGCCACAUUGGGACUGAGACACGGCCCAA
rnacentral:rRNA from 1 species